UACGAGAGGCCCAACCGUUAUUCGGAAUUACUGGGCUUAAAGAGUCCGUAGGCGGCGCAGCAAGUAGGGUGUGAAAGCCCUCGGCUUAACCGAGGAAUUGCGCUCUAAACUACUGUGCUUGAGGAACCUAGAGGUGAGCGGAACUGAUGGUGGAGCGGUGAAAUGCGUUGAUAUCAUCAGGAACACCGGAGGCGAAGGCGGCUCACUGGGGGUUAUCUGACGCUGAGGGACGAAAGCCAGGGGAGCGAACGGG
rnacentral:rRNA from 1 species